rnacentral:rRNA from 1 species
AUGCACGCAAGUCUUCUGCUCACCAUUGCAAAAGCCGUUGAGAAGUAUGAUGAUUUGAAGCUUAGAAGGAAUGCAUGCGGAGAGAUAAGUGCAAGCCCUCUGAUGAAGUGCAUUGCGUCUAUUCGAGUUUUGGCAUAUGGGUGUUCAGCCGAUGCAGUUGACGACUAUGUCCGCAUUGGUGAAGACACAAUCUUGGAGGCGGUUCGGAGGUUCACUAAAGCAGUUAUUGGUGUUUUUGGGCCGGAGUACUUGAGGGCACCCAACGAGGAAGACACCAAGAGGCUAAUGGCUAAGUGUGAAGCAAGAAGAUGGCCAGGGAUGCUCGGAUCACUUGACUGUAUGCACUGGACCUGGAAGAACUGUCCUAUAGGGUGA